ensembl:snoRNA small nucleolar RNA, H/ACA box 36C
UUCCGAAGUGUUGAGUUCAGUCCAGGGCAUCUUCCCUGUUCUGUUAAUUAAACUUUGGGACAUUGAAAUGGGCCAAGGGAGAUGAUUGGGUAGAAAGCAUGAUUCUAUUCAUUUGCCUCCUAGCCUACAAAA